GUGAGGAAUAUUGGUCAAUGGGCGCGAGCCUGAACCAGCCAAGUAGCGUGAGGGAUGACGGCCCUAUGGGUUGUAAACCUCUUUUAAACGGGGAUAAAGUGGGCCACGUGUGGUUCAUUGCAGGUACCGUUUGAAUAAGGACCGGCUAAUUCCGUGCCAGCAGCCGCGGUAAUACGGAAGGUCCGGGCGUUAUCCGGAUUUAUUGGGUUUAAAGGGAGCGUAGGCGGAGUGUCAAGCCAGCAGUGAAAUGUAGGGGCCCAACCUCUGAACUGCUGUUGGAACUGGCACCCUUGAGUGUGCGCGAGGCAGGCGGAAUUCGUGGUGUAGCGGUGAAAUGCUUAGAUAUCACGAAGAACUCCGAUUGCGAAGGCAGCCUGCCGGAGCACAACUGACGCUGAAGCUCGAAAGUGCGGGUAUCGAACAGGAUUAGAUACCCGUGUAGUCC
rnacentral:rRNA from 1 species